CAGUAGCCGCGGGAAUACGGAGGGUGCAAGCGUUAAUCGGAAUUACUGGGCGUAAAGCGCACGCAGGCGGUCUGUCAAGUCGGAUGUGAAAUCCCCGGGCUCAACCUGGGAACUGCAUUCGAAACUGGCAGGCUAGAGUCUUGUAGAGGGGGGUAGAAUUCCAGGUGUAGCGGUGAAAUGCGUAGAGAUCUGGAGGAAUACCGGUGGCGAAGGCGGCCCCCUGGACAAAGACUGACGCUCAGGUGCGAAAGCGUGGGGAGCAAACAGGAUUAGAUACCCGCGUAGUCCCUGUCUCUUAUAC
rnacentral:rRNA from 1 species